rnacentral:tRNA from 8 species
GGCCCGCUGGCCAAAUGGUAAGGCGUCAGAUUUCGGCUCUGAAGAUUGGGCGUUCGAGCCGCCCGUGGGUCG